rnacentral:ncRNA from 1 species
UUAAAUAGGACAAUUUUGGGUUUUUGAAUAUAAUCUUAAUUAUUCAAAAUUAAAAGGGAAAGUGGUGAAAGUCCACUACAGCCCCCGCUACUGUAAAAGCAGACAAAUCUUCAUUUAUCCACUGACUACUUUUGUUGGGAAGGAGAAGAGGCGGUUGAUGCUUAAGUCAGGAGACCUGCCUAAAGUUAUGCUUACUU